AGAGUUUGAUCAUGGCUCAGAACGAACGCUGGCGGCAUGCUUAACACAUGCAAGUCGAACGGAUUUAUGGAGCUUGCUUCAUAAGUUAGUGGCAGACGGGUGAGUAACGCGUGGGAAUGUACCUUUGGUUCGGAAUAACUGCGGGAAACUGCGGCUAAUACCGGAUAAGCCCGUGAGGGGAAAGAUUUAUCGCCAAGAGAGCAGCCCGCGUCUGAUUAGUUAGUUGGCGGGGUAAUGGCCCACCAAGACGAUGAUCAGUAGGGGCUCUGAGAGGAAGAUCCCCCACACUGGCACUGAGAUACGGGCCAGACUCCUACGGGAGGCAGCAGUAGGGAAUAUUGGUCAAUGGAUGCAAGUCUGAACCAGCCAUGCCGCGUGCAGGAAGAAGGCCUUCUGGGUUGUAAACUGCUUUUGCCAGGGGAUAAAAUUUCCAUGCGUGGAAAACUGAAGGUACCUGGUGAAUAAGCCACGGCUAACUACGUG
rnacentral:rRNA from 1 species